UGGGGAAUAUUGGACAAUGGGCGCAAGCCUGAUCCAGCCAUGCCGCGUGUGUGAAGAAGGCCUUUUGGUUGUAAAGCACUUUAAGCGAGGAGGAGGCUACUUGGAUUAAUACUCUAGGAUAGUGGACGUUACUCGCAGAAUAAGCACCGGCUAACUCUGUGCCAGCAGCCGCGGUAAUACAGAGGGUGCGAGCGUUAAUCGGAUUUACUGGGCGUAAAGCGUGCGUAGGCGGCUUCUUAAGUCGGAUGUGAAAUCCCUGAGCUUAACUUAGGAAUUGCAUUCGAUACUGGGAAGCUAGAGUCUGGGAGAGGAUGGUAGAAUUCCAGGUGUAGCGGUGAAAUGCGUAGAGAUCUGGAGGAAUACCGAUGGCGAAGGCAGCCAUCUGGCCUAAUACUGACGCUGAGGUACGAAAGCAUGGGGAGCAAACAGG
rnacentral:rRNA from 1 species